rnacentral:rRNA from 1 species
UCUUUAGGGGGUACCUGCGGAGGGAUCAUUACCGAGUUUACAACUCCCAAACCCCUGUGAACAUACCAAUUGUUGCCUCGGCGGAUCAGCCCGCUCCCGGUAAAACGGGACGGCCCGCCAGAGGACCCCUAAACUCUGUUUCUAUAUGUAACUUCUGAGUAAAACCAUAAAUAAAUCAAAACUUUCAACAACGGAUCUCUUGGUUCUGGCAUCGAUGAGAACGCAGCAAAAUGCGAUAAGUAAUGUGAAUUGCAGAAUUCAGUGAAUCAUCGAAUCUUUGAACGCACAUUGCGCCCGCCAGUAUUCUGGCGGGCAUGCCUGUUCGAGCGUCAUUUCAACCCUCAAGCCCCCGGGUUUGGUGUUGGGGAUCGGCGAGCCCUUGCGGCAAGCCGGCCCCGAAAUCUAGUGGCGGUCUCGCUGCAGCUUCCAUUGCGUAGUAGUAAAACCCUCGCAACUGGUACGCGGCGCGGCCAAGCCGUUAAACCCCCAACUUCUGAAUGUUGACCUCGGAUCAGGUAGGAAUACCCGCUGAACUUAAGCAUAUCAAAAUCUGGAAAUUG